AGCUCUCCCAACCGCGACGGCCGCGAUACAGCAGGAUAGAGCAGCGGGUGGCAAAGCGACCCGGAGCGCUGCGAGUAAGGAUGGUCGGCGCGGCGCUCUCUCCUGCUGCAGCUCCGCCGCCCGCUGCCUCGCACCAGACCGUGUAAUGGCCGCCGCUCCUGACGUCACCGCCUCGGCUUCCACUACGGGGAGGAGAAGGGAGGCUCUACAUGAGGCGACGGCGCUUGCGCGGGCUUCGGGCGGUGUGACGCCUGCGCGCCGGCCGGGGCGAGGAAGACCGACCUGACCGGCGAGCAGAGGCGAGACGCGCCUGCGCCGCACAGAGCGGCACGAAGCGGCCGGGGCGGACAAGGUGGCGGCGCCUGCGCCCUGCGGAUACUUACUCUUCAGUUAGUACUACAUGGCAGUUGCUGUCUUAAUGACCUUCAUCUGGGCCAAGCAACUGGAGAGUUAAGCUAUGAAAAGACUGAAGCAAGAAAAAGUGAACUAUUCUUUGUGUUCCUGUGAGGUGGUUCAUCCUCAGGUCACACCCAGAGAAUGCCAGCACUCGAGGACACUGCCUGGCCUCCUGAAUCGUGCCGCAGUUCUGGCUCGCCGAGUGGCUGCUCAUCUCCCCAUGUGCCCACCAUCAGUCAGGGCUGACAGCAGAGCACCAAGUCACUGCAGAACACCUGUCCAUGUUCUGCCCGGGUUUUUGUUUGGAACUUCCCUGCUCUCAGCAGACUUUCCUUUGCAGCUUUUCCCUAAUCUCUCCUAAUUCUGCAGAUUCCUGGUAUGCUACCUCUGUGUGCUCAUCCCUGUGGCAUGUCAUUAAUUCACAGAAGAGUCAGUUAAUUCAGACAUGGACACUGGGAAAACAUCAGUAAACCACUGCUCCAGGAGCAGAGCUGUGCAAUUACUUUCUCCUUUCUUUUUAAUUUAGAUACAGAACAGGCCAAAGUCAUUGCAGGGGAUUCUGCUUGUAGAUUCAAGGCUGCCUUUUCAUGUCCUGGGUGAAGCCCUGUACCACUCUCACUCCUCCCUUCUCAGGCUCCUGUCUUGGAGAUCACAGAAUCAGAGAAUCACAGAAUGUUAGGAGUUGGAAGGGACACCUGGUCCAACCCACCUGCCAAAGCAGAAUCACAGGAACACAUCCAGAUGCAUCUUGAAAGUCUCAAGAGGAGAGUCCACAAUCUCUCUGGGCAGCCUGUUCCAGGGCUGCAGCACCCUCACCAAAAAGAAGUGUCUCCUCAUGUUGAGGUGGAACCUCCUGUGUUUGUCCCCACUCUUCCUUGUCCUAUCACUGGGCACCACCAUACACAGCCUGGCACCUUCAUCUUGACACCCACUCCUCAGAUAUUUAUAGACACCCUUUAGAAACUCUUUGGAAACAGAGCUGCAGAACACUUGUAGAUGAAACCUGUUUAGUUGUUGGGACAAGAGGCUGUAGCCCAAGCUGGAUCUGGCUUCUAAUUAUAUAGCAUCAACAUACACAAAAUGGGGCUCUGUGAAGUCUAAAUAGGUAAUUUUGCAGUGAAUAUUAAAUAUUAGGUAUUGAUCCAUUAAAAAUAUGAAAGCAACGCUUUUAAAUCCUUUGUACCUGU